rnacentral:rRNA from 2 species
CGUAGGUGAACCUGCGGAAGGAUCAUUGUCG